rnacentral:rRNA from 1 species
GAUGAACGCUGGCGGCGUGCCUAACACAUGCAAGUCGAGCGAGAUUAUUCUUCGGAAUAGUAUAGCGGCGGACGGGUGAGUAACACGUGGGCAACCUGCCUUGUAGAGGGGGAUAGCCUUCCGAAAGGAAGAUUAAUACCGCAUAACGUUAUUGAAAGGCAUCUUUAGAUAAUCAAAGGAGCAAUCGGCUACAAGAUGGGCCCGCGGCGCAUUAGCUAGUUGGUGAGGGAACGGCUCACCAAGGCGACGAUGCGUAGCCGACCUGAGAGGGUGAGCGGCCACAUUGGGACUGAGACACGGCCCAGACUCCGACGGGAGGCAGCAGUGGGGAAUAUUGCACAAUGGGGGAAACCCUGAUGCAGCAACGCCGCGUGAGUGAUGACGGCCUUCGGGUUGUAAAGCUCUGUCUUUGGGGACGAUAAUGACGGUACCCAAGGAGGAAGUCACGGCUAACUACGUGCCAGCCGCCGCAGUAA